UAACAACAACUAAUAACAACAUGAAGCGCUCCCCACGAAUCCAUGACAAUUCUGGGGCCAUGACAAAAACCGUCCUAGCGAAAAGCAGGCGCUCCAAGUGGAGGCUAAAACACGGUCCUCUCACAUUCCAUUGCGUAGCACGGGGGGAUUUAGGGAGUCUUAUUUCCUUAUAACUGUGCUCCCAUCCACAGAGCGCCCGCUUCGAUCGAGUUGUUAUACCAAAAUUCAGCCAGGAUAGGGAAUAUACGAGGCAGACUAACCAAAGAUUUGGGCCUCAUAUAUUAUUGCCAAAUGUAAUAAUAAUUGCUGGUGGCUUAUUUAAAAACAUAAAAUGAAUAGAUUUAAAUAUCCAGCCAUGUUAACACAUGAUGUCGUGCUUGGAACACAUCAACAGAGAGAAGACCAUCCCUGCAGGAGUUGGGUGACAUCCGACUUAAAUUAGUGGAUGCAUUUUUACAGCAACCUUGAAUUGACUGGAGAACUCAGUGGACCACAUACACUUCAGGAGAAAAUCAACGCAGACUGUUUUUCUCUCCCAAAGACUUUGAUGAACGGAAAUCGUAGUGGAUCACGCCCUCUAGAUUUGUUUUCUACCAAACUUCAGUUCCGGACUCAUAUCUGCAUCUCGACUGGAGCAAAGUUUUCUAAUUUAUGACGGGGAUUUCUUCAGUCUACAGCCGCUCUCUGUCCAUGAGGGAUGGCGCAUGACAAGGGCCUCUGCAACAAACACAUGGAUUACAUUUACUACACUCUCCUCCAGACCAUCAAUAAGUCAAGACCCAUGGAAAUCCAACAAGGACAAAUAAUACAAAGAUAAAAAUACCUCUCUACCACCCCAAGAUGAAGCCAGACUGAUAGUGUGCUUAUGUUCAUUAGCUCACUGUAAAAUAAGCUGUGGCGUGCCACAGGCAAGUGUGCUGGAGCUUCUGUUAUUCCUGCUGUACAUUAAAGAUAUCAAGGAUGCUCGCUCAAUGUCACCCGUUUCUUUAUGCAGAUGAUUCUGCACUCCUGGUGUCUCGCAUAAACCAAACCACUCUGGAGAGUAUACUGAGUGUAGAGCUCACUAACAUCAACAAGCUAUCUCCGCACCUCGGCAAAACAGAAGGAAUAUUGUUUGGGUCCAAAAUGAAACUAAGCGAGUCCUCAGACGUCAGGGUACAGCUAGCAGGACAGGUACUCACAGCCAGAACAGCAGUUAAUUACUUAGGAUGUACACUAGAUGGCAACCUGGCAGGGAGGGAGUAUGGCUACUAAGGUACUAGGUAAGGUGCUAGUGUAAAGGACAUCACGCUGCUUUACACUAAUAGUGUAAGGGACAUCACGCUGCUUGCUUAGUGUCGCGAGUACCACUUCCUCCUGAUUCGGCUCACACCGAGGCUUGAACCCAGGACCUCAAGCGUCUUACCAGUCGGCGCCACGGAAAAGCUAGCUAUUUGUUGGUGCAAGUGGGGAAAGUUCAGGCUGAGGAGUAAGUUUCACACAUCCCCAUGUGCUACACCAGGACCAAGUUCUUGGCUAUGUAGUCUAAGCUGUUGGACAAAGAUUCAAAGAAAGUGCUAGCUGAUGUGCUCAUCCAAAUGUCAUUUUGAUGCUAGCACCUCCUGGUUCGAAGGCUUAACUAAUCUACUAAAAAGCAAGCUCAGAAUAGCCCAGAACAAGUUGAAUCUGAGCCCAUCUACAGUUCUCAUAUUGGUACCAGACAGUUUUAGGAGCUCAACUGGCUGCCGUCUGAGUCAAGGGUCACACAGACCAGACUUAGCUGGGUUCAUAGGAUCAUCUAUGAAGCAGCUCCUAGGCAUUUUGUCUCACUACCUUCCCCAUUUUAGAGACUCCUACAAACACAACAAUAGAGCGAGCUAACGUGUUGUGUGUAGAAGCCUGGCAGGGAAAGGUACUUUUUUAUAUUCAGGAGCCUCUGAGUGGAAUAUUCUGCCUCUGGUCUGUUAAAACUAUUCCUACUCUGAGUAGCUUAAAAAGGUUGUUGAAAUCCUGGUUAAUGGAUUGGGUGCCUCUGUGAGCAAUCCAUCCUAGCCCAAUGAUAAUGACCAAAUAGCCUCCUUUUGUCUAUAGUGUGUAUAUGUUGUUGUGCUCUUAUGACUAAAUAACCAUAUUGACCUGCCAUUUUAGCUUCUGUUUUUUAUUUUGCCACAUAUGACAAAUGCUAUCGUGAAAGAGGACCACAAUUUAAAUAGGUUGUAGACUUUUUUUGUGUUUAUCUUCAACGAUUCUUAAUCAUGCGCAUCAAUUUGUACGUGUACUUUGUUUUUAAAUAUCCAAUAAAAAAAUAAAUAAAAUAGAACAGCAAUGCCUCAA